GAGGAAAGGAGAGAGGGCGAGAAGCGGAGGAGAGAAGAUUAGAAACGGGUUUUCCCCCAACCCAUUUACCCGUGACACCCACACCCAAAUUCCGACGAUUUUCACCGGAUUUCUCACAAAUUGGAUCAAGGUACCACUCCCAAUCAACACCUAGGCCUUCCCUCUUCAUGUUUCACCCAAAAAAUCAUGAAAUUUCGUGGUGAUUUCACGAAGAACACCCACACGGGUGCCACGACCUUUUUGUCCAAAUUCUUCAAAUCUUGACAUGUUUUCUUUCAAUUACUAACACUAUUAGUAUUCCCUUAGGACCUGGAACAAAGCCCAAGCUUUGAUUUGGACGGUGGAGUUGAUUUGAAGGUCGAAUUGGAACUCACCCAAUUCUAGGGUCCGCACGGAAUUUGAUGAAUUUGAAGUGUUUCCAGGCCAAAUUGGCCU
rnacentral:lncRNA from 1 species